GGGAAAUAAUAAACGACAUAAUCUGAAGUGCUGAACAUAAACAUAAACCCUAACUAUUUUCCUCUCUAUCUUUCAGCAUACAUACCGAAUGAACCAUGGAUUUUAAACUCAGAUCUUUGUUGUUUCCGAGUCAAUUUCGAAUGAGGAGGUAUUCAGUAUCAGUUUCAAAUUCAAAUGUUCAACUCUGUUAGAAUCAAUUUCGAAUUCUGGUACAUCAAUUUCGAGUUUAGAUCUUCGUCCCUCUCCGAUCCAAGAUCGAAUCAAUUCAGAUACAUCAAUUUAAAAUGUUGAUCUUUGUUUCUCUCUUAACCAAUUUGUCAUUCAGACAAUGUAGGUGCAACAAGAGAAUAGGCAGGGACACUUGAGCAUCAAAACAAGCGAUUAUAUCAUCUAUAAGGCCAUCACCUAUGUAUUUUAUUUUUUAGUCUUAUAUUAGUGAUGUAUUUAUUUAGGGACAAGCUACUAUAUGUCUAUAUAUAAUAUGCGACAUCUUUUUUUUUUUUU